UACAGAGGUCUCAAGCGUUGUUCGGAUUCAUUGGGCGUAAAGGGUGCGUAGGCGGCGCGGUAAGUCGGGUGUGAAAUCUCGGAGCUUAACUUCGAAACUGCAUUCGAUACUGCCGUGCUUGAGGACUGGAGAGGGGACUGGAAUUUACGGUGUAGCGGUGAAAUGCGUAGAUAUCGUAAGGAAGACCAGUGGCGAAGGCGGGUCUCUGGACAGUUCCUGACGCUGAGGCACGAAAGCCAGGGGAGCAAACGGG
rnacentral:rRNA from 1 species